GGACGAGAAGCUUGCUUCUCUGAUGUUAGCGGCGGACGGGUGAGUAACACGUGGAUAAUCUACCUAUAAGACUGGGAUAACUUCGGGAAACCGGAGCUAAUACCGGAUAAUAUUUUGAACCGCAUGGUUCAAAAGUGAAAGACGGUCUUGCUGUCACUUAUAGAUGGAUCCGCGCUGCAUUAGCUAGUUGGUAAGGUAACGGCUUACCAAGGCAACGAUGCAUAGCCGACCUGAGAGGGUGAUCGGCCACACUGGAACUGAGACACGGUCCAGACUCCUACGGGAGGCAGCAGUAGGGAAUCUUCCGCAAUGGGCGAAAGCCUGACGGAGCAACGCCGCGUGAGUGAUGAAGGUCUUCGGAUCGUAAAACUCUGUUAUUAGGGAAGAACAUAUGUGUAAGUAACUGUGCACAUCUUGACGGUACCUAAUCAGAAAGCCACGGCUAACUACGUGCCAGCAGCCGCGGUAAUACGUAGGUGGCAAGCGUUAUCCGGAAUUAUUGGGCGUAAAGCGCGCGUAGGCGGUUUUUUAAGUCUGAUGUGAAAGCCCACGGCUCAACCGUGGAGGGUCAUUGGAAACUGGAAAACUUGAGUGCAGAAGAGGAAAGUGGAAUUCCAUGUGUAGCGGUGAAAUGCGCAGAGAUAUGGAGGAACACCAGUGGCGAAGGCGACUUUCUGGUCUGUAACUGACGCUGAUGUGC
rnacentral:rRNA from 1 species